UAGCAGCUUGUUUUCUCUGCUGGC
rnacentral:piRNA from 2 species